AUGCUGGCCUCUAACCAGAUGUCACCCCAAACUCUGUUUUAUGUUUGGAAUAACUGGAAGUCAAUCAUAAUCAAAGUACUAUCUCAACUUUGCCACGCCAAUGGUUCAGAAUUAAAUGAUUAUCCAGUUAUGUAUGAAGAUCUUUGUGCCAAGUACAUUGGAUUGAUAAAAGAUGGUGAAGCUGACAAAUAUGUGGUGCUUAACGUGAAUGCAAGUUGGCUUUCUACCGCUGGCAGAAAUUCUUUGCAGCAAGAUGGCAACAGAUGUUUCUUGGGUGCCCCUCGGUGUUAUUCAUGUGCUCAGUGUUUCUGGAUGAAUGAGUUGUCUUCUGUUGGUUUCAGUGUACUUAAGAAGUUGGAGUCCAUUGUUCAAAUUUCUCCAAAGUCGUCAUCUUCUUAUACCCUGGUGAGAACCAUCCUUAUCAUAAAUGAGAUAGCAAAGUUUCUGGAAGAACCACAGUUCAGUAUGCCAAAAAGUUCCAUGAAGUUAAGAAGCUUUUUUGUUCUCUGCAAGCGUCGCUUAUUUGAGUUAGUUUUUCUUGUGUGGAGAGAUGGGACAACAAGGAGCCUCUUGCGUCUACUUGACUCACCAGCUGCAUAUGGAUUGAUUGCUAAUUCUCUUAAUUCAAAUCUUCGCCUAGCAAAUAAAAAUCUGACUCACAAGCAUCUUGGGAGAACCACAAUGCUCCUGCUUCAUGCAGCACAAUUGGAUGAAGCGCUACUUUCAAGACUACUAUAG
rnacentral:rRNA from 1 species